AGAAUUACUUCCUUGGUUACUUGAAUGCAGCUUCCAGUCCAUUACAGUUCAUUUACAGGUUUAUAUAAGUUUCUAAUAUGAGGCUUAUUCAUCCAUAUUCAUUUCCCACGUUCCGG
rnacentral:lncRNA from 1 species